GUAGUCAUAUGCUUGUCUCAAAGAUUAAGCCAUGCAUGUCUAAGUAUAAGCACUUUAUACGGUGAAACUGCGAAUGGCUCAUUAAAUCAGUUAUCGUUUAUUUGAUAGUGCCUUACUACAUGGAUACCUGUGGUAAUUCUAGAGCUAAUACAUGCUGAAAACCUCGACUUCGGAAGGGGUGUAUUUAUUAGAUAAAAAACCAACGCCCUUCGGGGCUCCUUGGUGAUUCAUGAUAACUUAACGAAUCGCAUGGCCUUGCGCCGGCGAUGGUUCAUUCAAAUUUCUGCCCUAUCAACUUUCGAUGGUAGGAUAGUGGCCUACCAUGGUGGCAACGGGUAACGGGGAAU
rnacentral:rRNA from 1 species